rnacentral:rRNA from 1 species
UGGCGGCGUGCUUACACAUGCAGUCGAACGAUGAAGCCCAGCUUGCCUGGGUGGAUUAGUGGCGAACGGGUGAGUAACACGUGAGCAACGUGCCCAUAACUCUGGGAUAACCUCCGGAAACGGUGGCUAAUACUGGAUAUCUAACGCGAUCGCAUGGUCUGUGUUUGGAAAGAUUUUUUGGUUAUGGAUCGGCUCACGGCCUAUCAGCUUGUUGGUGAGGUAAUGGCUCACCAAGGCGACGACGGGUAGCCGGCCUGAGAGGGUGACCGGCCACACUGGGACUGAGACACGGCCCAGACUCCUACGGGAGGCAGCAGUGGGGAAUAUUGCACAAUGGGCGAAAGCCUGAUGCAGCAACGCCGCGUGAGGGAUGACGGCCUUCGGGUUGUAAACCUCUUUUAGUAGGGAAGAAGCGAAAGUGACGGUACCUGCAGAAAAAGCACCGGCUAACUACGUGCCAGCAGCCGCGGUAAUACGUAGGGUGCAAGCGUUGUCCGGAAUUAUUGGGCGUAAAGAGCUCGUAGGCGGUUUGUCGCGUCUGCUGUGAAAUCCCGAGGCUCAACCUCGGGUCUGCAGUGGGUACGGGCAGACUAGAGUGUGGUAGGGGAGAUUGGAAUUCCUGGUGUAGCGGUGGAAUGCGCAGAUAUCAGGAGGAACACCGAUGGCGAAGGCAGAUCUCUGGGCCAUUACUGACGCUGAGGAGCGAAAGCAUGGGGAGCGAACAGGAUUAGAUACCCUGGGUA